CAGCUCAAACGAAGCAGAGCGGGUCAGCUCAGAACAGCCGGGUUCUGGAGGGCCCCCACAGACCCGGCCUGAGACCUGCUUAGCAGGUAAACCCUGAAAGAAACCAGAGGAACCGGGCUGCAGAGACCUCUGCUUGGCUGUUCGAUUCCUUUGAACAAAUACAAACAUGACGAUUUGACAUUCUGGGUCACAGGAGCAGAAUCUUCAGCAGAACCCGUUUCACCGAUGGACGGAUCCAGAUUGCAGUGUGCUGAGAAUCUCUCCAAACAGAUGUUUGGCUUCCUGAGUGUCUGGUUCCUCAAAGUAAUCUGCAGCUGAGACCUCCACGAUGAUGGACCGCAGAUUCUUGCACACACCUGCACAGGACGGCCUGGCCGCUGACGGGCGUGUGCGUCAGGAUGAGCGUCUGCAGGCUCCUCAGGCCCGCUCUGCAGAGCGCCGUCGCCGCCUGCAGGCUGAGGUCGGGAACGCGCUCCAGCUCCAGAACCUGCAGC